AGAGUUUGAUCAUGGCUCAGAACGAACGCUGGCGGCAGGCUUAACACAUGCAAGUCGAACGCACCGCAAGGUGAGUGGCAGACGGGUGAGUAACGCGUGGGAACGUGCCCUUCAGUUCGGAAUAACCCAGGGAAACUUGGGCUAAUACCGGAUACGUGCGAGAGCAGAAAGAUUUAUCGCUGAAGGAUCGGCCCGCGUCUGAUUAGCUAGUUGGUAGGGUAAUGGCCUACCAAGGCGACGAUCAGUAGCUGGUCUGAGAGGAUGAUCAGCCACAUUGGGACUGAGACACGGCCCAAACUCCUACGGGAGGCAGCAGUGGGGAAUAUUGGACAAUGGGCGCAAGCCUGAUCCAGCCAUGCCGCGUGAGUGAUGAAGGCCUUAGGGUUGUAAAGCUCUUUCAGCGGGGACGAUAAUGACGGUACCCGCAGAAGAAGCCCCGGCUAACUUCGUGCCAGCAGCCGCGGUAAUACGAAGGGGGCUAGCGUUGUUCGGAAUCACUGGGCGUAAAGGGCGCGUAGGCGGCUUGAUAAGUCGGGGGUGAAAGCCUGUGGCUCAACCACAGAAUUGCCUUCGAUACUGUCUGGCUUGAGACCGGAAGAGGUAAGUGGAACUGCGAGUGUAGAGGUGAAAUUCGUAGAUAUUCGCAAGAACACCAGUGGCGAAGGCGGCUUACUGGUCCGGUUCUGACGCUGAGGCGCGAAAGCGUGGGGAGCAAACAGGAUUAGAUACCCUAGUAGUCC
rnacentral:rRNA from 1 species